UUAAUUUGUGUUUUUUUAUCCUUGUGUCAAAAUGAAUCCAUAAUGUUAAACCUGUUUCCAAGGAUAGUUUGUAAAUUCAUUGAUAUUUCAUCGUUUUUAUUUUGUGGGAAUUUUCUGUUUUAAUUUAAAAUUUGCUUCAGAUUCUUGUUCAGAAAUGUUUAAGAUGAGAGGUGACGAGCUAAUAAAGAAAUGUUUAAGAAGAGAGGAGACGAGCUAAUCCAACCUGGAAAAGAAUUAAUUUUACGGUUAUCGUUAUGAAUUUGUUACGGAGUAAGAAGGAGAAGACACCAAGAACAACAUCAAGUACAACAUUGCUGAGUCGGAUUGAUGAGUUGGAGAACACAUUCAAGGUUUGGAGGAUAGGUGGAGUAGUAGAUUAUAUCAACCUGAGAAGAAUAGUUGACGAGAUAAAGUUCAUUCAAGGUCUGUUUUUAUGGUCUAAGAAGUGCCAAGGAUGAGAAUGAAAUUGUUCAAACAGUGUUCUCACAUUUUAAUCUAAUAUCUAUUACUAUUGUUGAAAUAAAUAAUACUGCAGA